AUGGGAUUUGUGUCGACUUAUGCUACCGGAGCUAGAAUGAUAUUGAGGAAUUCUUCGGGUGAGAUUAUUUUUUCUGCAUGUAGAGCCUUAUUCUCUUGUCGAGAUACUCUUGAAGCAGAAGUUUGCGCCUGCAUGGAGGGACUAUCAUCGUCUAUUCAGCGUUUCGAUCUACCUAUUGCUAUUGAGGUGGAUUCUGCUAUGGUGGUGGCCAUGAUCACUGGUGGGGGUAUGAACCGUUCAGCGUAUGCUUCUUUAGUUAAUGAGAUUAGAUACCUUCUUACUUUUCGGCAAUCUUGUAUUACUCAUGUUUCGCGGUCGUAA
rnacentral:rRNA from 1 species